GGAUUAGCUCAGCUGGGAGAGCAUCUGCCUUACAAGCAGAGGGUCGGCACCCUGAGGGAGCGGAUUUACAGUCCG
rnacentral:tRNA from 1 species